UGGCGGACGGGUGAGUAACGCGUGGGCAACCUGCCUUACACAGGGGGAUAACACUUAGAAAUAGGUGCUAAAACCGCAUAAGCGCACAGCUUCGCAUGAAGCGGUGUGAAAAACUCCGGUGGUGUAAGAUGGACCCGCGUCUGAUUAGCUUGUUGGCGGGGUAACGGCCCACCAAGGCGACGAUCAGUAGCCGGCCUGAGAGGGCGGACGGCCACAUUGGGACUGAGACACGGCCCAGACUCCUACGGAAGGCAGCAG
rnacentral:rRNA from 1 species